GCAGUCGAACGGAGCUGAGAGGAGCUUGCUUUUCUUAGCUUAGUGGCGAACGGGUGAGUAACGCGUGAGUAACCUGCCCUGGAGUGGGGGACAACAGUUGGAAACGACUGCUAAUACCGCAUAAGCCCACGGCCCGGCAUCGGGCUGAGGGAAAAGGAUUUAUUCGCUUCAGGAUGGACUCGCGUCCAAUUAGCUAGUUGGUGAGGUAACGGCCCACCAAGGCGACGAUUGGUAGCCGGACUGAGAGGUUGAACGGCCACAUUGGGACUGAGACACGGCCCAGACUCCUACGGGAGGCAGCAGUGGGGGAUAUUGCACAAUGGGGGAAACCCUGAUGCAGCGACGCCGCGUGGAGGAAGAAGGUUUUCGGAUUGUAAACUCCUGUCGUUAGGGACGAUAAUGACGGUACCUAACAAGAAAGCACCGGCUAACUACGUGCCAGCAGCCGCGGUAAAACGUAGGGUGCAAGCGUUGUCCGGAAUUACUGGGUGUAAAGGGAGCGCAGGCGGACCGGCAAGUUGGAAGUGAAAACUAUGGGCUCAACCCAUAAAUUGCUUUCAAAACUGCUGGCCUUGAGUAGUGCAGAGGUAGGUGGAAUUCCCGGUGUAGCGGUGGAAUGCGUAGAUAUCGGGAGGAACACCAGUGGCGAAGGCGACCUACUGGGCACCAACUGACGCUGAGGCUCGAAAGCAUGGGUAGCAAACAGGAUUAGAUACCCUGGUAGUCCAUGCCGUAAACGAUGAUUACUAGGUGUUGGAGGAUUGACCCCUUCAGUGCCGCAGUUAACACAAUAAGUAAUCCACCUGGGGAGUACGACCACAAGGUUGAAACUCAAAGGAAUUGACGGGGGCCCGC
rnacentral:rRNA from 1 species